CCUACGGGAGGCAGCAGUGAGGAAUAUUGGUCAAUGGGCGGGAGCCUGAACCAGCCAAGUCGCGUGAGGGAAGAAGGUACUGAGUAUUGUAAACCUCUUUUGCCAGGGGACAAAGGCGGCCACGGGUGUCCGUAAGAGGGUACCUGGAGAAAAAGCAUCGGCUAACUCCGUGCCAGCAGCCGCGGUAAUACGGAGGGUGCAAGCGUUACUCGGAAUCACUGGGCGUAAAGAGUGCGCAGGCGGGCUUGUAAGUCAGAUGUGAAAUCCUGUAGCUUAACUACAGAACUGCAUUUGAAACUAUGAGGUUAGAGUGUGGGAGAGGUAGGGGGAAUUCUUGGUGUAGGGGUAAAAUCCGUAGAUAUCAAGAGGAAUACUCAGUGCGAAGGCGACCUACUGGAACAUUACUGACGCUCAUGCACGAAAGCGUGGGGAGCAAACAGGAUUAGAUACCCGAGUAGUC
rnacentral:rRNA from 1 species